rnacentral:rRNA from 1 species
CCUACGGGUGGCUGCAGUGGGGGAUAUUGCACAAUGGGGGAAACCCUGAUGCAGCGACGCCGCGUGGGCGAAGAAGUAUUUCGGUAUGUAAAGCACUAUCAGCAGGGAAGAAGAAAUGACGGUACCUGAGUAAGAAGAACCGGCUAAAUACGUGCCAGCAGCCGCGGUAAUACGUAUGGGGCAAGCGUUGUCCGGAUUUACUGGGUGUAAAGGGAGCGCAGGCGGCACGGCAAGUCUGAUGUGAAAGCCCCGGGCACAACCUGGGGACUGCAUUGGGCACUAGCGGGCUGGAGUGUCGGAGAGGUGGGCGGAAUUCCAAGUGUAGCGGUGAAAUGCGUAGAGAUUAGGAGGAACACCAGUGGCGAAGGCGGCCUACUGGACGGUGACUGACGCUGAGGCUCGAAAGCGUGGGGAGCAAACAGGAUUAGAUACCCCAGUAGUC